UUUAAGUUUGAGAAAAUUGUAUACACCAUGUCCAACCACCAUACCAGUGCACAUAUUCUGUUCGACAAAUUUCACGAUUUGCGUUGCCAUCGCCAUGACGCCUCAUAUUCCUCUCCAUUCAGAUAUGAUCUAGUUUGCCUCAUACACAGAUCUAGUUUUCUACAGAUAAAAUCUUCCAUAAGGUUGUAAAUCUUGAUCUAGAUACAAGUGAAACAAAGUGGUGAAACUUGCAAAUCCUCAAGCUCGUCGAGUCAAAUCCUUGUACUAAAAGUGGUUACCUUGUGGACUGGCAAUGGAAUCAACCGGCACAUGUACCGGAAUGUUUACUGCUCCAUCUUGAGAUAGUUGUGUGGUUAAGAUAUGAUUGGCAAUGAGAAGAUGAGAACAAGGUUUCCAGGUACAUUUUAAAAAAAAGGACAAUGUUUGAAGAAAGCAAUUUUCUCCACAAGAUCCCACAGCGGUAAAGAGCCCAAAAUGUAAGAAGAGAAAAGCAAGGCAUUCAACGAGUUGGCUAGUGUGGUUGGGGCUUCCGAGUCAUGUCUCUUUGAGAUCAAAUGAGUUAUCCCAUCUCUACAUUAUUACGUUGUUUGUGAUUCACAAAGUUGACUCUUUUUUUUCCUACUUGUAUUUCAUUGGUCUUUAAUUCCAGUCACAUGUUUACUGCUUUCUUAUUCCUGCUGCCAAGAUUAUUCGGUCAGUAAUUUCUUGGUUUCAUACACUUUUGUUUA